rnacentral:rRNA from 1 species
AUGCAAGUCGGACGAGAUUUCGUCCUGUAGCAAUACGGGAAGAAGUCUAGUGGCGAACGGGUGCUUAACACGUGGGCAAUCUGUCUUAAAGUGGGAGAUAGCUCGGCGAAAGCCGAAUUAAUACCGCAUGUGAUUAGAGUGGACAUCCAUUCAAAAUCAAAGGUGGCGCAAGCUACCGCUUUUUGAGGAGCCCGCGGCCUAUCAGCUAGUUGGUGAGGUAACGGCUCACCAAGGCUUUGACGGGUAGCUGGUCUGAGAGGACGACCAGCCACACUGGGACUGAGACACGGCCCAGACACCUACGGGUGGCAGCAGUCGAGAAUUUUUCUCAAUGGGGGAAACCCUGAAGGAGCGACGCCGCGUGGAGGAUGAAGGUCUUCGGAUUGUAAACUCCUGUCAUUGGGGAACAAGUCGCUUACGUUAACUGUGUGAGCGUUGAUAGUACCCGAAGAGGAAGAGACGGCUAACUCUGUGCCAGCAGCCGCGGUAAUACAGAGGUCUCAAGCGUUGUUCGGAUUCAUUGGGCGUAAAGGGUGCGUAGGCGGCGCGGUAAGUCGGGUGUGAAAUCUCGGAGCUUAACUCCGAAACUGCAUUCGAUACUGCCGUGCUCGAGGACUGGAGAGGAGACUG